UGGGGAAUCCUGCGCAAUGGGCGAAAGCCUGACGCAGCAACGCCGCGUGCGGGAUGAAGGCCCUCGGGUUGUAAACCGCUUUCAGUGGGGACGAACCAAGACGGUACCCACAGAAGAAGCCCCGGCCAACUACGUGCCAGCAGCCGCGGUAACACGUAGGGGGCAAGCGUUGUCCGGAUUCAUUGGGCGUAAAGAGCUCGUAGGCGGCUCAGUAAGUCGGGUGUGAAACCUCCAGGCUCAACCUGGAGACGCCACCCGCUACUGCUGUGGCUAGAGUCCAGUAGGGGAGCGUGGAAUUCCUGGUGUAGCGGUGAAAUGCGCAGAUAUCAGGAGGAACACCAGCGGCGAAGGCGGCGCUCUGGGCUGGAACUGACGCUGAGGAGCGAAAGCGUGGGGAGCGAACAGG
rnacentral:rRNA from 1 species